CUACGGAGGGUGCAAGCGUUACUCGGAAUCACUGGGCGUAAAGCGCGCGCAGGCGGCUUGAUAAGUUGGAUGUGAAAGCCUACGGCUCAACCGUAGAACUGCAUCCAAAACUGUCAGGCUAGAGUGUGGGAGAGGAAGAUGGAAUUAGUUGUGUAGGGGUAAAAUCCGUAGAGAUAACUAGGAAGACCAAAAGCGAAGGCAAUCUUCUGGAACACUACUGACGCUGAGGCGCGAAGGCGUGGGGAGCAAACAGGAUUAGAAACCCCGGUAGUCC
rnacentral:rRNA from 1 species